UAGUAGGUAUAGCACUGAAUAUCUCGAGGGAGUAUGAAAAUAUUUAUCUCAGAUAUUUAAUCUCAAAAUAACUAUUUCUUAAAAUAAAUAAUCAGACUAUGUGCGAUAAGGUAGAUAGUCGAAAGGGAAACAGCCCAGAACAGUAAUUAAAGCUCCCCAAUUAAUAUUAAGUGAA
rnacentral:rRNA from 1 species